rnacentral:lncRNA from 1 species
CUCCGGUAGCAUGAAAUACAUCUUUUCAUUUCCAUAUAAACAUGGUCAUUUCUUCUAAUCGAGAGACUACUGGCAAAACUUCUGUGCCCAUAGAGACUGGAGGAGCCAACUUUUCAGUUUUGCUAUGUACUCUGCUCUUCUGGCCUUGCAACAUCAGGGAGCAAAGCUCCACACCAGCUGCACAGGUAUGCAGCUUCAGAGGCAGUCAGCAUUCACAGAGCAUAGCAAAGAAACCACACUCAAGUGUUCUCAUUGGUAUUUCUACAUUUACAUACAAAAUUACUCACAGUACUAAAUACUCUGAGAGAGGAAAAAAGAAGUAUUUGGGCUUUGAUUACUCUCCCUGCAUUUCUCUGACCCAACUAGAAGAAAGCCAGCUGAGCAACUUGCUCCUGCUAGACAUACUCUUUUUUCCUGUUAGUCUCCUGUUGCAGCUGACAGUAUCUCUACAUUAAUGAAUACCAGAGGAUUGGCCUAAAAAUUGGAGCACGCUGCAGCCCGAGUUGUUGGCUGUGUUCCCUCUGCAUUCCAAUACGAUGCAGUAAAUUAUCAUUGCAGAGAGAAGGCUGGAAGAAACCCGAACACCACUACCACACGUGUAGCAAAAACCAGUUAUUCACCUAGGCAAAACCGUCAGUAUCUGGAAGAUGAAGGACGGCUCUCACAUCUCAGGCUGUUUGGUCUAUCUGCAGAACAGCUGCUUGGGUUGUUUCUUCAUCGGAUUCUUCCAUUUCUCCACUGACUGGUUUGCUCCUUUCAUCAUACAGUUUCUGGCUGGAAUCUUCGAGAGGCAUCCCAUACUCUUCAUCAUCCUCAACAAUGGACAGCUCGAUGUUGUUGUUUGUCAUGGCGCUGCUUUCCAUCCUGGCUUCUUUCUCCAAAGAAUCAAUGACCGCUUUGCUCUCCUCAGCCAGAGAUGUGGUGGGGGUCAUAUCUGAGUGCAUGUCAGCGAAGGACAUCUCCUCCUCAUUCUCAGCCUGGUCGGUGCUUACUGUAUCUGCUGGUCUGUCUUCAGCUUCAGCAGGGCUUUCUCCUUCACGAGAUUUCUUCACAGUGAACGUCAGUGGAACUUUGAAAGGUGAACUCUUGGAAGAGGAGGAUUUCUGAUGGUGCACUGUAAGGGAUUUCUUAAUCUUCUCUCUCCGUUCAGCUCAGCGAUAUGCUGGUGAAUAACUGCUCGCUAGUGGGAUGCAUUACCCUGCAGGAUAAAGAAAAGCAUCACCAACGGGAUGGCUGGAUGUGGUCUGGAUGCUCCCAUGGUUUGGGUGCAGUUGUACAGACAGUGCUUUUUCUGUGGUGGGAGCCCUGACAAAGCCAGCACCCUUCUCCAUCUGCUGCUGCAGCUCUCCUCGCAGUGACCACGACUACAGAAAGCACCUGCGCCAGCUGUAAGUGAGCGUAACUCUAACUGCAGUACAAAUAUUUGUAUUUUCUUCCUGCUGCAGAUAAUGAAAUGUGGAUUAUGUGAGUGGGUGCAGUUUUAAAUUACUCCCUAGAGCACGAGAACUCAGUAGAAAACAUAAUUUACUCGUCUUGUGCAUUCUUUCCAAACCUAGGUAAUUGCUUACGGUUUUAAACAACUCAGCAUUCAGCUGUGAGCUCCUGAAUGGCACAGAAAACUGAUUUCAACGAGUAUGGGUAGGCUGUAACUUUUGAUGUGUGACUCUAGGAGAGGGACAUCACACAGGCUGAGCCCAGAGCGGUUAGACCCAGAGGUGGACAGCAUGGCUGUCUUCAGUGACAGACUAUGGCCAUGUCAGGCUGAAGGACUGCUGAAAAUACAAGCGUGGAUUUAUUUCACCUUUUGUCAGAUUUGUGACUCAGGAGAAGGGAAACAGUCAACUUAUCCUUGUUCUUUUAAAAAUAAUUAAUAAAACCCAACCAAACCACUCUUUGUGUGCUAACGAGCCAAUGAUUCAAUUAAAAGCAGAUAAUAGGUGGUCUUUGGCAAUCAGAUAGUACUGGCAGUUAAGAAAUCACAUAUCUGUCUAAGUUUCCCAUAUGGCCUCGUGAACACCAGCCUCUGGGCACCUCUUACUCUGCUUGAAAAAUGGGAGUAGCAUGCUUUCCUAUCUCACAAGUGUAGAAGACCUUAUGAUUAUGAUAACCAUUAAAAUGCAC